CCAAGAUUUAACGCAGAUAUUAUUUGGCUGAACCUUCUUCCAGGAGAGAAUAUACCUGUAUACGCUCAUUCUUGGAUGUUUACUUGAUUAGUUGGUGAAAAAUAACACAUGCCACAUUUACAACGGUUUAAUAGGCUACGUUAUAAAUUCUGUUUGCUCACAACUGAGAGGUCAAGUACUAAUCACAUACUGCAGAUACUGAAUUCAUGAAUGACCAACCCACUAAGAACACAGCGAGUGCGCGCCUCUCCGGUCAGUGGUCGCCUUGCUGUGAAGACGAGUUCUCUCAGCAGGACCACCCCGGGCAGAUUAACACCCCUGGCACUGAGGGGACAAGGAGUUCUCGACGUAAGUCCAGGAAGUCUGCCAAGGGUGCCACUCAAGAAAUGGACAAUUGGACUUUGGAUUCUAGGACAUAUUUUCAGGAUUUGUUGAACCGUCUGCAAACUGGGCAGCCUUGGUAUCUCCCUUCUCUUAUGGGCCCUCCACACGAGCACAAUGGGGAGGGUUCCUUAGAGGGAUUCAUCUUACAGAGUAAGAACUAUUUCAAUUAUCUCCUCUAUCCAGACCCUCCAGAAUUCCUGAAAGUAUGUUUUUUAUUGCG